UCAUCAUCAACGCUUUCACUCGGUCGGAAAGAAGAUUCGAAAAUUGUUCAAAUUUUCAUUUUGAAUUAUUUUUUGACUCCCGGCUCCUGAUGGCUCCUCGCCGCUUGGUUGACUCCAUCUCCUCUGAAUUCUCUCAUCCCGGCGUGCGAAAAAAUGGAAUAAUAUCCGACAGGAGAAAAUUUAUUUUCUAAAAGUUGUGUACAUUCAUCUGUCGUCCGAAUUCGAAUUGAUUGAUGGACGCGUUCUUAAUUUGUUUAGAUAUCGGCGGCGGCUGUUUUUUUUCUUUUCUUCUUUUCAUUCUGUGUCCAACUUUCUCCUCUGGGUCUUUAAAUCGCAAUCAACGAUUUGAUUGUCCGUUGAAUCACGACCGAUAUCCAUGCGAUCGGGUUCCGUUUAGCGAUUUCCCCGUUGGCCACGAUUGCAAUUGAUUAGCCCGUUAUUGUUUUUCGUGACAGAACCGAGGCGGGGAGGUGGGCAUUAUAAAGAAUAAGGAAAAACAACAGACAGAAAGACAAGCUGAAAUUCACAAGUUUGAUGGGUCGAUUUAUAAUAGCGGGACGAUGACGAGUGUUAAAGAAAAACAGCAGAGAGAGAUCACAGGUGGUGGUGUUGGUGGGGGAAAAGAGUUGCGGGCAGUUGCCAACUUUCGCGCCCGCAGAGAUAUUAGAACGAAUGGAAAACAACAACCGCUAAUCCGUUAUUACCUAGACACACAUGUGUUUAGCGGUUAGAGGGCCGAAUAGCCAAAAAAGAACCGGACUGGAUUUCUCAAUUCAUUUGAAAAUGGCGCCGGAGAAAAUUCAUGAGCAAUAUUGCACGCGAGAGUCUGGGCCGGGAGAAAAUCACGACUUGUAAACCGCCCAAUUGAAGAAAUCGCGUUCGGGAAAGUGAUGCUCGUCAUUCAAAUAACACGAUAUCUUCGGGAGUUGCAGGUGAAAUUGGCAGGAAUCAGGCGCCCGCAAAUGUGAAAUGCGACUUGGUUUUCAUUUCUUUCCAGGUAAAAAGGGAAACAAAUCUACGUCAUCGUGUCUAAAGUUCAGGUGGAAAGGUUGUGGAGUAGAGAGGGCAAAUGGCGAGACAAGAAUAUUGUCGAUCAACCGCUCCCGCACUACGCUUUACAUGUAACGCGUUCGUGAAUACUUUUGCGCAAUCAGGUGGGGAGGCCCUCCCGGGUUUUUUGUUGUUUUUUUUUCUAUUCUAGGAUCACUGUUGUUUUUCUGUGUCUCUCUUUUUCGAAAAUAGUUCUUUUGGAAUGGGCGAAGGUCGUUGGCACGCAAUAGAGCCAUCGCCUGAGCGCCAGCCACUCUCGAUCGCCCGCUCAAUUACGCAUUCCGAUAAUUUUUCGCUUUCCCAUAGCGGCGCCGAAACCUUCGUGAGGCGCACACGAGGCUUCGUUCUUUUUUUUUCUGAUUUUUUUCCAACAGCCCAUCGUAAAGAUUGUAAUAAUGAAUCUAUUUUGGUUCAGUAUUUAUUUUCAAGGACAUCUAGCCGCAUCUAGCGGUGAUAGUGGCAGACUUGCACGACAACACGCGAGUCUCUUGUUUUUUCUUCUGCUUGGAAAUCACGGAUGCCGAUUUAUGGCUUUCUUCAACGGCUGGAUUACGGCCACACAUAAUUGGCGUAUCUAUAAAAACGAGACCUCCCUAGUAUUUACGUGGUCGACUUUCUUAUUAUUUUGUUUUUCUUUCUUUCUUUUUCUUGGGGGCUGUUUGCUUUCGAAACUAGACCAUGUGUGACAAUGAAGAAGACGCCAGCACUGUUUUGAUGUUGACAGCUGGAGGACAAGAAAGCCUGUUGAACGACGACGACGAACAAACGACCGACAAUCAACAGCAACGGUUCUCGCACAAUGGGCCGGCAAACUCCACGCCGAAUUCGAAUGUAUUUCUAUUCUGUUCGGCCUCUAUGGCAGCCUUGGGUGGCCUGCUGUUUGGCUACGACAUUGGAAUCAUUUCAACUGCCCUGCCUCAAAUCAAAGCAGGGUUCUCGCUGACUUGCUUUCAGCAGGAAAUGGUGGUCAGCCUCAUGUUGGUCGGAGCCCUAUUUGCAUCACUGGUUGGAGGUUCCUUCAUUGAUAAAAUUGGCAGCAGAAUGUCCAUCAUCCUAAACGCUGUAGUAUUUAUAGCAGGUGCAAUUUUACUUGCACUUUCUCCCAGCUAUGGCUGGCUGUUGGUGGGAAGAUUUAUUGUGGGCUUCGCUGUGGCCUUGUCAGCAGUCAGUGAGUGCAUCUACAUAUCAGAAAUAUCCACUCCGCACAACCGAGGUAUGCUGGUUUCGCUGAAUGAACUUGCCAUCACCGUCGGAUUCCUAGUGGCGUACAUAGUCGGCCUGGUAUUCAUCAACCGGCCGGAUGGCUGGAGGUUCAUGUUUGGCCUGAGCGCCGUGCCAGCGGCCGGCCAAUUAUUUGGCAUGAUACAAUUGCCCAACAGUCCGCAUUUUUUGGUGUUGAAGCAUCGCGAUCAAGAGGCCGAGGCUGCCGUUAAGAAUUUGCGUCAAUUGAAGAAUCCCGACCAAGUCCGGCAAGAGCUGACCCACAUCCGUUUAUCGCUGGAGGCCGGUCGUUCGCAGAGUUGCUGGUCCUUGUGUUCCAGCGCCGAUGGCUUGCGCGCUUCCAUGAUAAUCGCCUUUGGAUUGGUAAUGGGACAGCAAUUGACCGGCCAGCCGAACGUUCUCAACUACGCUUCAACCAUUUUCCAACAAGUUGGUUUUUGCGGUCGUGAUCCGGUCAGUGCUACGUUCCCAACCGUCGGCCUUGGAAUCGUCAAGUUGGCGGCCACGGUGGUUUCAUUAUUGUUGGUCGAUCGCAUGGGCAGGAGGAAAACCUUGCUACUGGGCGCACUCAUCAUGGCGGCCAGCUUGAUUUGUCUCAGUGUCUUCGCCUUUGUCCAGCAGCAAGGUAGCGACACGAUGAGACCCACCUGCACGGACGGCCAGCCUUCGAAUUAUUCGUCAAACGUCACAUCCCCACUGACCGACGAUUGCGGUUCAUCGUCCCACGUCAAUCCGGCACUGCGCUACAUGGCCUUAGCUGCUUUAAUGGCCUACGUGGCGGCCUACUCGUUCAGCUUCGGACCCGUCACUUGGCUCCUGUUGAGCGAGAUAUUCCCGGCCGCCAUCAAGGGUCGAGCCAUGGCCGUUUCGACUUCAGUCAACUGGGCCGUCAAUCUAGUCAUUUCGGCCACUUUCCUCCGCACCGUCCAGCUCCUGUCACUGGGCGGCGUGUUUGUCGGCUACGCCGUUCUCACAUUCUUGUCGAUCGUGUUCAUUUUCCUGGCCGUUCCCGAGACGAGAAACAAGACGCUUCAUCGAAUCACCAAGGAACUGCAGACGACCACCUUCACCGGCCGCAUGGUCCAGCACGCACGGCAAUUUCCCUGCUUCAAUAACUCCGCCUGGCUGCUGAAACUCGGCGGCAAUUACUCCCAGCUGGCCAAUAAUAGUCAAGAAGUCGUUAUGGAGACUCUCAUCUCAUGAAAAUUGGCCCAUUCCCCACAUCGCUCGCUAACUGUGAUUUUGGGUUUUCCCAUCCAAUAACAAAUCAAAUGAGGUAAAUGACGUAAUUUUUUAAAAGAUGGCGCUUCAUCGUGGAAACUUUUGCUCACUCCACGGGACCGUAUCCAAGAUCUGUUUCAAGAUAAUUUUUUCGUUCCAACUACUUUUUUUUUACUUCUUUUCUUUCAUUCUCUUGCACAUUAUUCUUCGCCAAGAUUCAUUUCCGCCGCUUAAAUGCCGUAGAGCUGUGGAAUUUCGUACAGGGGGGCAAGCCAACUAUUUCGUGUGCGUGGUUUCGUGCCUCUCGUUCACAAAUAGCCACCAAUGUCUUUUCUAUUUCUUUUCUUUUUUUUUUUUUACCAAAUUUCUUUUUUUAAAUUUUUGUAUUUUUAUUUUCCGAUUUCGCCAUGUUGUGUGCUGCUAUCUAGUGGCAAUUCUGUCUACCCUGUGAAUGUGACGUCACAUUUUGUAAUAGGUCGAGGACUCGAGGUGAUUGCGAUCACUGUACCGCAAAAAAAAAGAAAAGAAAAGAAAUGCUUUGUUUUAUACUGGAACGUGUCCUUCGAUCCCCCAUUCACAUGGACUGGAAACGUUUGGUGAAAGGAGCAUUAGUAUAUACCAUGUAGCAUUGAAAUUUGGCUCGGAAAGUUGGAAACCCAAGAAGUUUGAUUCACACAUCCGUCAACAAAAAUAUCUAAUCCUCCAAUUGGAAUAUUAGGUGUCACCGACGUUCCGGAACUGCGUUUUGUUUCGUUUGUAUUUUUUCCGCGAUCGUUUUUUUUUCGGUUUAGCGUUCCAUGACGUUGAUUCUCCCGGUGUCCCUUUGAAAAACGACGACUCGCUGCACCGACGUAGCGCAUUAUCAGGUAUAGGAUGGAUAACCUUACGUGGUUUUUGAUGUGUGCGUGUGUGUUUGCAAGUUGACGGAAGCCGCGAACUGAAAUCAUCACAAGUCGAAAAAAAUAACAAAAAAAGUGGGAGGAAUGUAGGUCCAUCCCAGGGUUUUUCCUGUUGGACAUUUUGCUAUCCUGGGACUUUCCUAAGCUCUGCGAUAACGAACGAUGGGUUUAGCUUAUGCCCACAGAGUGUAGGUGUAGUAGUAUAUAGGCUCCACCUAUCCUGCGGGGCCCGUCCUUGAUCGCCGGUUACUUAAUUAUACUUCCCGACGCCCUUUGGCUCACGUUCGCCACGACGGGAGAGAACUAGAAAUAAGUAGAGACGUAGAGAGAGCGUGAUUUAUGCUCGGCGAACGUUAUAACCCCCCCUCUCGACUCUCUUUUCUUCUUUCUUCUUGUUGUUGGGCAUCCAUUCAAAGUCACGUUACGUUCCUCUUUUGUUUUCUUCUUCUUUUUACCUUUUGGCCCGAUAGUAAACAGACUUUCAAGUUCUCCUUGUCAUUCCAGUCUCGCGACGAUGAGAACAGCGCAAAAAGGGCGCGGCUGACCGAGAGAAAUUAUCCCAACGCACUCUGAAUUCGCUACUAUGUAGGAGACCGUUGUUGACAUUCGUGUCGUGCGUAUACAGCAAAAGAGACUCGGGUUGAGGGGAGGAGGGCGAUCUCUUUGGUAAUAGCAGCGUCUAAUCAUCUUGUUAUCCAAUUUUUUUUAUUUUGAAUUCAAACUCUGUCCCGAAUAUUUUUGUGCGUUCGGUUCCCCUUUUAUUUUUUUAUUUUUUGACUGUGGUGUUCGUGAGACAGACGAAUCGCGUGUCUUGUACAUUAUUAUCUCUCCCGUCAUUUUCGCCGGACGGAAAAAAAUUUUUUGGGAAGAGUCAAGAAGCCACAGGAUCCAAAGUCCUGUGUGUUUGUUUUUUUUUUCCCGAAAAGAAAGAGAAAGAAAGAAACGGUAAAAUUUACAAGGGAGAGAGAGAGAGAGAGGAAAGCGCGUGAGUCGCAUAGAGCACGUGACGCCUUUGACAUCCCUGAGCAGCAGAAGAGAAUAUUUCCGUCCAGGGUCUCCUCCUUUUCAUUCCACAAGUCACGCAGCGAAAGUUGUUCUCUCUCUCCUAUAAGCGCUGAUGCCAAAAGAGAGAGAGAGAGAGAACUGUUGUAAAAUGUAUCAACGAAAAAAGGACGGAUGGAAAACACACACGAAAGAAGAAGAAGAAGCUGCUGGUCGGCUUGGCUGCAGAUAUGCUUUGCACGCGGGUAUUUCGCUCCCGUUCCUUUUUUUUUCUUUUCUUUUUUUAGGAGCCAGAAAAAUCCUUCCCUCCCGCCGUCGUCGUCGUCGUAUAUAUACUCGUUUGAAAAAGAAGAGUAUAUUAUAACAAGCGAAAGAAGAAACGACGACUACCGGCGCUCACGAAGCUAUUAAUAGGUUUCCUUCAAAAAGUCCUCGACGUUCCGUUAUGUUCCUACUGGGCAAACCAAAAGAUCCUACAGUCGGUAGAGUAUGCGCUAAACUUUCACGUGAUGCCUCCCAUCGGGACUGGGGGUAUCGAAAUCAAUGUAUAUAACCAGCUCUCAUAUACAUAUGCCAAAUUCGAAAGGGAGGCGUGAGGGGAGGGCAG
rnacentral:misc_RNA from 1 species